rnacentral:rRNA from 1 species
AUUGAACGCUGGCGGCAGGCUUAACACAUGCAAGUCGAGCGGAGAUGAGGUGCUUGCACCUUAUCUUAGCGGCGGACGGGUGAGUAAUGCUUAGGAAUCUGCCUAUUAGUGGGGGACAACAUUCCGAAAGGAAUGCUAAUACCGCAUACGUCCUAUGGGAGAAAGCAGGGGAUCUUCGGACCUUGCGCUAAUAGAUGAGCCUAAGUCGGAUUAGCUAGUUGGUGGGGUAAAGGCCUACCAAGGCGACGAUCUGUAGCGGGUCUGAGAGGAUGAUCCGCCACACAGGGGAUGAGACACGGCCCAGACUCCUACGGGAGGCAGCAGUGGGGAAUAUUGGACAAUGGGGGGAACCCUGAUCCAGCCAUGCCGCGUGUGUGAAGAAGGCCUUAUGGUUGUAAAGCACUUUAAGCGAGGAGGAGGCUACUGAGACUAAUACUCUUGGAUAGUGGACGUUACUCGCAGAAUAAGCACCGGCUAACUCUGUGCCAGCCGCCGCAGUAACAC